AAUGGGCGCAAGCCUGAUCCAGCCAUGCCGCGUGAGUGAUGAAGGCCCUAGGGUCGUAAAGCUCUUUCGCCUGUGAAGAUAAUGACGGUAGCAGGUAAAGAAACCCCGGCUAACUCCGUGCCAGCAGCCGCGGUAAUACGGAGGGGGUUAGCGUUGUUCGGAAUUACUGGGCGUAAAGCGCGCGUAGGCGGAUUAGUCAGUCAGAGGUGAAAUCCCAGGGCUCAACCCUGGAACUGCCUUUGAUACUGCUAGUCUUGAGUUCGAGAGAGGUAAGUGGAAUUCCGAGUGUAGAGGUGAAAUUCGUAGAUAUUCGGAGGAACACCAGUGGCGAAGGGGGCUUACUGGCUCGAUACUGACGCUGAGGUGCGAAAGUGUGGGGAGCAAACAGGAUU
rnacentral:rRNA from 1 species